AGGACGAACGCUGGCGGCGUGCUUAACACAUGCAAGUCGAGCGGAAAGGCCCUUCGGGGUACUCGAGCGGCGAACGGGUGAGUAACACGUGAGUAAUCUGCCUUCAGCUCUGGGAUAGCUCCGGGAAACCGGGAUUAAUACCGGAUAUGACCACUUCGGACAUCUGUUGUGGUGGAAAGUUUUUCGGCUGGAGAUGAGCUCGCGGCCUAUCAGCUUGUUGGUGGGGUAAAGGCCUACCAAGGCGACGACGGGUAGCCGGCCUGAGAGGGCGACCGGCCACACUGGGACUGAGACACGGCCCAGACUCCUACGGGAGGCAGCAGUGGGGAAUAUUGCGCAAUGGGCGGAAGCCUGACGCAGCGACGCCGCGUGGGGGAUGAAGGCCUUCGGUUGUAAACCCCUUUCAGCAGGGACGAAGCGCAAGUGACGGUACCUGCAGAGAGCGCCGGCUAACUACGUGCCAGCAGCCGC
rnacentral:rRNA from 1 species